UAUUUCUUAAAAAUUAAAACAAAGUGAACUGAAACAUCUUAUUAACUUUGUAAAAGAAAUCAAACGAGACUUUGAGAUUAGCGGCGAGCGAAAUUGAAGUUUAUUUUAAUAACAUAAAGUUAUAAAAAAUAAUAAAUAUUAAAGGUUAUAGCCCUGUAUUUAUAAUUGUUAUUAAAAAUUAAGUAAUUUUAAAAAGGUUAUUUAAAGUGAAAAAAGGAGAACCUUCUUCUAAAUGCAAAAAUUAAUAUAAUCCGAUAGUGAACGUAGUACCGUGAGGGAAAGAUAAUAAAUUUAAAUGCUGAUAAGCCGCUAGCGUAACAAUUUAUAAUAGCGUACUUUUUGUAUAACGGGCCAGAGAGUUUAUAUUUUAAGCUUAUAACCGUUUAAAACUUGAAAAGUGUAGACAUAGCGAAAGCGGUAAAGAAAUUUUUAGUGUUUAAAAUAUAAGACCCGAAACCAAGUGAUCUAAGCGUGACCAAGUUGAAGAAAAGUGAAAACUUUUUGAAGGACUGAACUUAUGUUUGUUGCAAUAAACUAAGAUGAGUUACGUUUAGGAGUGAAAGGCUAAUCAAACUUGGAGUUAGCUGGUUUUCUGCGAAAUCUAUUUAGGUAAAACGUAACCUUUUCAUAUUAAAAUAGCGUAGAGUACUUUUAAAAAAAGGGGGCUUAAAAAACUUACUUUUUUUUGAAAAACUCCGAAGAUGUUUUAAUUUAGAGUUACAGUCAGACUAUGGACUAUAAGGCCCAUGGUCAAAAGGGAAACAGCCCAGAUUGAUUGCUAAGGUCCGAAAGUUUUUUUUAAGUGAAAAAAGAAGUUUUAUACUAUUGACAUCUAUCAGGUAGGCUUGGAAGCAGCCAUCCUUUCAAGAAAGCGUAGUUGCUCAAUAUCAGAAGUAUUUAGCACUGACAAUGUAUAGGACUCAAAAAAAACACCGAAGCUUCAGAUGUAAAAAUAAAUUUAUAUGGUAGCAGAACGUUUUGUGAAUUUCAAAAAAAUUAUUGAAAAAUUAUUUUUUUAUAAGCAAAAGUGAAAAUUCUGGCAUGAGUAACGCAAUUUUUAUAAGAAUUAAAAAGGUUAUUUGUUUAAGGUUUCCUGCACAAAUGUUAAUCAUUGCAGGGUAAAUCGGUUUCUAAGUUUUAAAGCAAAUGCUUUAGACGAUGGAGAAAU
rnacentral:rRNA from 1 species